AUUGAACGCUGGCGGCAGGCCUAACACAUGCAAGUCGAAUGGUAACAGGAAACAGCUUGCUGUUUCGCUGACGAGUGGCGGACGGGUGAGUAAUGUCUGGGAAACUGCCUGAUGGAGGGGGAUAACUACUGGAAACGGUAGCUAAUACCGCAUAACGUCGCAAGACCAAAGAGGGGGACCUUCGGGCCUCUUGCCUUCAGAUGUGCCCAGAUGGGAUUAGCUAGUAGGUGGGGUAACGGCUCACCUAGGCGACGAUCCCUAGCUGGUCUGAGAGGAUGACCAGCCACACUAGAACUGAGACACGGUCCAGACUCCUACGGGGGGCAGCAGUGGGGAAUAUUGCACAAUGGGCGCAAGCCUGAUGCAGCCAUGCCGCGUGUAUGAAGAAGGCCUUCGGGUUGUAAAGUACUUUCAGCGGGGAGGAAGGGAGUAAAGUUAAUACCUUUGCCCAUUGACGUUACCCGCAGAAGAAGCACCGGCUAACUCCGUG
rnacentral:rRNA from 1 species